AGUGAACGCUGGCGGUAGGCCUAACACAUGCAAGUCGAACGGCAGCACAGUAAGAGCUUGCUCUUACGGGUGGCGAGUGGCGGACGGGUGAGGAAUACAUCGGAAUCUACUUUUUCGUGGGGGAUAACGUAGGGAAACUUACGCUAAUACCGCAUACGACCUACGGGUGAAAGCAGGGGAUCUUCGGACCUUGCGCGAUUGAAUGAGCCGAUGUCGGAUUAGCUAGUUGGCGGGGUAAAGGCCCACCAAGGCGACGAUCCGUAGCUGGUCUGAGAGGAUGCUCAGCCACACUGGAACUGAGACACGGUCCAGACUCCUACGGGAGGCAGCAGUGGGAAUAUUGGACAAUGGGCGCAAGCCUGAUCCAGCCAUACCGCGUGGGUGAAGAAGGCCUUCGGGUUGUAAAGCCCUUUUGUUGGGAAAGAAAAGCAGCAGGUUAAUACCCCGCUGUUCUGACGGUACCCAAAGAAUAAGCACCGGCUAACUUCGUG
rnacentral:rRNA from 1 species